AAAAAUUUAGUUAAAUUAUAACGUUAGUUUGUCAAACUAAAAUUAUUAUCAUUAGUAAUUUUUA
rnacentral:tRNA from 1 species